UACGUAGGUGGCAAGCGUUGUCCGGAUUUACUGGGCGUAAAGAGCGCGCAGGCGGCCGGUUAAGUCGAAUGUGAAAGCCCCCGGCUCAACUGGGGAGGGUCAUUCGAUACUGUUCGACUCGAAGGCAGGAGAGGGAAGUGGAAUUCCCGGUGUAGUGGUGAAAUGCGUAGAUAUCGGGAGGAACACCAGUGGCGAAGGCGACUUCCUGGCCUGUUCUUGACGCUGAGGCGCGAAAGCUAGGGGAGCAAACGGG
rnacentral:rRNA from 1 species